UGCAGCAUAUGGAAGUUCCCAGGCUAGGGGUCGAAUCAGAGCUAUAGCUGCUGGCCUGUGCCACAGCCAUAGCAAUGCCAGAUCCCAGCCACAUCUGCAACCUGCUCUACGGCUCAUGGCAACGCCGGAUCCAUUAACCCACUGAGUGAGGCCAGGGAUCAAACAUGCAUCCUCAUGGAAACUAGUCAGGUCCUUAACCUGCUGAGCCAGAAUGGGAACUUCACUUCGCAAAUUCUUAUUUGGACCCAUAUACCCACAUAUAUCCACACACCCCCUGUGCAGCAUACAUUGUUGAGGGUAUGCAGCUCAGACUUAAACCAGUUAUCCAAAUCCCUGGCUGCAACUAAUGAUUCAGAUAUAGAUCAAGACAAAGACGCAAGAGGAGAAGUGUGCUGUUUGUUCUGGAGAAAGCAGCUAAUCUGUUCUUCUUAAGAGAGUGGCUGGAAAAGGAAAAGGAAAAGCAAAACUUCUUGCAAACAUGAGAAGAUGACAGUUUGAGAAAGACACUGACUCUAUAAAAGUAUGAGAAACUGAGAAAGGGUCCUUUUUGACUUAUCUGAUGCAAUAUAUUAGAGCUAGCAUGAACCCUAUCAAGCGGGAUGGAUAUGUUAUAUAAGAGAAAAUUUUAUUGCUCAGGUCCAGUGGACCUGGGUUUUCUGUUAGAAGCAAGCAAAACGACUUUAGUGAAUACAAAUGCCUAAGCCUCACAUUAUUAUGGUGAACAUAUAUAUGUGUGUCCCUCUCCCUCAGCAGACCAUGAGGUCCACGGUUUCCCAAGAGCUUCCACAGGGCAGGGGAAAGCCCUGGCAGCAUCCUCAUGCCCCUAGUCCCUGGCCCACAUUAAGCUGUCAAAGAAGGGCUAUUGGGUGUAAUGGAACUGAGGUAGGUGGUCAUCCCACUUGCUCUGAGGAAUUUCUAAAGCAACACAAUGACUUUUCGCUUCUUCAUGCAUAGUCCCAAUUUGUCUUUCCUUGCAUUUCUUGUCUCCUGGUUGCCUGACACCUCCCACACGUCAAAUCCACACGGCCACUCAAGGCCAAUCAUCUCAAUCUCCCAAACCAAAGUCCCCCCCAACUCCCCGCCCACUUCUCUUCCUCUCCACUUCUGACAUCUUGUUCUGACCACCCUCCUGCCCACUUUGGGUGACUGACACUGUCCUCAAACCCAUCACCUGAUGCAAGUCCUGCCUCCUGCCUCUCUUGUCUCCACCCUGCAGAAAGAGUGAUGACUCUAAAUGAACAUGAUGGAAGAUAAUACAAGAAAAAGAAUGUGUAUAUAUGUAUGACUGGGUCACUAUGUUAAACAGCAGAAAUCGACACAACAGUGUAAAUCAAUUAUACUUUAAUUUAAAAAAAAAACUUUAAGUUAAAAAAAUAAAAUAAAAUGCAGAUCUGGCCAUGCUGCUCCCAUGAUGGAACGACCUUGCUGGACCCCCAGAUGCUCUCAGGUUAACAUCCAAAUCCCUGAUUAUUCCAAGCAGCUCUUGGAGAUGUGGCCCAUCUCAUCUUUCCAGCCUCACUUUACUCUACCCUGCUUGUCCCCACAUACAGUAAUACUUCUGGAUGGCCACCUGCACUUCUAUCACAGUGAGUCCUCCCCCAGGGCCAGUACAUAUGCUUCCCGCUCUACCUGGAAAAACCUUCCUCCAGUUCUUCUGCACAAAUCCUCCUUCCCCUUCAGAGGCCGUUUUAACUACCACCUCCUCCAAGAAAACUUCUAUUCUUCCCUCUGCCACCCAGUCUGGGACUAGCCCCUCCUCAUACACUUAAAAACAAUCUCAAAUUACCACUUUCACAGCACUUGUUAUACUGCAUUAUCUUCAACGAUUUAUAUGUCUCUUCUGCCAGGCUUUCAACCAACUGCAAGCAGCCAAGUACCUUUAGGAAUCAUGUCAUAUUCACCACUGAGUACUCAGAGCUGUGCUCCGUACACGGUAGGUGCUCAGUAAGCUCUUUUAAUGUGAAUCAGUGAGUUCAGAGAAUGAAGAAAAUAUUGGACAAUCAGAAACAUUCCCCUUCCAACUUCAUUUUCUCACUUUAAGACCUUAUCCGUGAGGACAUGGGUUUGAUCCCUAGCCUCAUUCAGUAGGUUAAUGAUCUGGUGCUGCUGUGAGCUGUGGUGUAAGUUGCAGACACAGCGUGGAUCCAGCACUGCUGUGGCUGUGGCGUACGCCGGCAGCUGCAGCUCCAAUUCCACCCCUAGCCUGGGAACUUCCAUAGGCCAUGGGGGUGGCCCUAAAAAGACAAAAAAAAAAAAAAAAUUCAUUCACUCAUAAUUCCACAAAAUAACGUCCCUUAAGCUGAAAAGUUGUUAGCAAACAACCCUUCCACAGCCAAUGUCACCCUUCACUGUGAUACUUAUACCACUCUGUUCUGCAUGAAUGUCUGCAUGAAUCUAAUUCAAGAUGAACUUCCAGCCAUUACACAGAAAACACAGAGUGUGAGUGCACGUAAAGUUUAAGCCCUGAUACAGCUUUCUUUUUUUCCUAGUCCCAGUAGGAAAAAGAGAAGAUUCCAAAUCAAAAAUGGGAUGAAACAGUCUAAGUUCCCCUCACUCCUGGCAGAACAUGCUACAUCUCCAUAGGGGAGGUGUUGUUGUUCAGGGUCUGCAGGUCUCCUCGGAGCCUGGGGAGAAACAGCUCCUCUCCAGCAGAUCUCCCUAGGGGUAACAGCAGCACCCCAGGCUGAACUAGAGGGAUGGCCAUUGGCAGUUCUGUUGCCAGGACAACAGGAGAAGGCCUUCUCAACAAGGAUAGCCUGGUGUUCAGAAGCCGGGGUGCCCAGACACAAGUAAAUGCAUCCCUCUCACACCCCCAUCCAGUCCCUUAAAAGUAUUUAUCUAAGAUCCCAUUAUAAUUUUACUGUUUUAAUUUAGUAUUGUGCUACAUUUGCCAGAUAAAAUAUUGAACUCCCAGGUAAAACUGAAUUUCAGGUGAACAAGGAUUUUUAGCGUAAAUACUUCAGUUGAACAGUGAACAAUUUUAGUGUAAGUAUGACCCAUAUAAUAUUUUGGAUAUACUUAUACUAAAAUAUUCAGUUUAUCUGUAAUUCGUACUUAAAAGGGAGUUCUAUAUUAGUUCCUAAAGCUGCCAAACCUGUAUAUGGCAUCAAAACUCAAACUACUGCUUCUCUCUCUUUUUUUUUGCCAUGCCUGCUACAUAUGGAAGUUCCCAGGCUAGGGGUCAAAUCGGAGCUGCCACUGGGGCCACAGCCACAGCAAUAUCGGAUCUGAGCCACAUCUGGGACCCACACUGCAGUUACAGCAACACCUGAUCCUUAACGCACUGAGCAAGGCCAGGGAUCAAAUCCGCAUACUCAUACUCUGCCAGUUCUUAACCUACUGAGCCACAACAGGAACUCCAGCCUUUUCCUUUAAAGUCUGUAAGCUUCAACUAAUUGAGUAGACAGUCUAGUAACCAAAGAAAAAAGUUUGGAUAUAAAGCAAGAGUCUCAAAGGGGGAUUAUCCCAGGGACCCUUAUAAAACAAUGAUUCAACCAGGGCAUAUAGUAUGGAUUAUUUUCUGAUAUGUUUGCUUCAGUGAAAGGGUCUGCAUGAUGGUGGGGCGGGGGGAGACUUUUUUCCUUUCAACUGGGAUCUGUGUGUAAGGGUCAAACAACUUGAGCUACCCACUUUCCCCAAGGGGUAAAUGUUAAAGACAUCACUGGCCCCCCAGAAGGUUCACUCACCUCUCUCAGACCAUCAAAAGCUGGCCCAGCAAUUCCUGGGAGCUCAUCCUCUCAUUUCUCCUGAUCUCAACCACACCUGGAGCUGGAUUAGUAACUCCACAAGCAAGAAAAGAACUGGGUUGCGCGAGCAAAAAGACACUAUGGAAAUCCUCCUGGGGCUCCUCAAGAGAAAACGAGUCCAACCUUCUGCAUUAGUUAGCUUGACUCAUUUGCUGUUCAUGGUGAGGAGACUGAAUUACAGCAGCCUAUAAUAGUUAAAUAGGAAUGUUUUCCUUGGCUCAUUGCUCUGUGGCGAAAUUUCCCCAGCAGUCACUGAUGCCAUCCCCAGCACCCUAAAUAGCAAAAAAAUGUGCCCCAUUCUCUCUGCUAGUGUCUUCACAGGCUAUUGGGUAAGGUUUCUCUAUCAGGGUUUUCAGGUAAGUUCCCUGUCAUUUGCCUUUUAUUUUCUGUGCAUCAUCUUUGAAAAAAAAAAGUCUGAAUUCAAAACUUAUUUCUAAGUCAGAAAGAAGAUUCAAGUUUCUUUUCUAAAGCAGAGACACCCUCUUCCCUCUUCUUGAUGUGUCAUCAGCAGCUUUAAAAGCAAUCCCCUUGUGUCUGUCACAGUGACUCGGAAAACUAGGCCAGUGAUGAUUCUGUCAUUUAUUGGUUCUGCAGAAUAUGUGCCCUACCAUCUUCCAUUUCUAUGCUUCAAAAUACUAAGCAGGCCACACCGAGACAUCUUUUCAUUGCAAAGUACUCUGCGUAAUGGUUUUGGAACACUGGUAGGGGAACAGAGGUGCAGAGACGGGGCACUUCUGAGUAAUUGCUGUUUAUUUCUGUGGCAAAUCACUACUUGGGAAAACAUGUAUUUGAGGGACAUUUAAGGUUUGGCAUUUCCAUCCUUGGAACUGCCAUUUGCGUGGUGACAUUUGAAACUUGACCAUCCCAGACUGCCUGGUUGCCAGACAGCAGCCACUUUGGCAAGAGGUAACUCCAGAGGGAAGAGAAGAGCCUGUCUUCUAAAAGGAAUGAAUAAAUGUCUGCUCAGGCCCCUCUAUCAGCCCAAACAAGCAGCUGCAUUCAAAAGGUUUCUCCUAUCUUGCAGAGCCAGAAAAGGUGAGCUGUUCCAGGCAAGGCCAGAAAAAAAAAAAAAUGUACUAGAAUGUGUGGGGAGAGAAAAACAAAAAACAAAAAAACCCACUUAUUUCUUAAAGGAGAAUGGCAGAGCUCAAAGUAGGAUAAGGAUGAGCAAGCAGCCCACCUUCUCUGCACAAGCAGCCACCUUCUCUGCACAA
rnacentral:lncRNA from 1 species